GAUUUCUGGUAUGGCGUAUUUGGCCCGCCUCGGUUACGAGGUUGUGUGCCGGUAUGCGCCUGCCAUCCUUCUGGGGAACUAUCAGAACUCUACUUUACUGUGGAUUUUGUUAGGGAACCAGAUCAUUUACUUUGAAAAAAUUAGAGUGUUUAAAGCAGGCUUGUGCUAUGAAUACAUUAGCAUGGAAUAAUAAUUUAGGACUUCUGCCUAUUUUAUUGGUUUCUAGGUUUGGAGUAAUGAUUGAUAGGGAUAGUUGGGGGUGCUAGUAUUCAUCGGCCAGAGGUGAAAUUCUUGGAUUCGAUGAAGACUAACUAAUGCGAAAGCAUU
rnacentral:rRNA from 1 species